rnacentral:rRNA from 1 species
CUACAGAGGGUGCGAGCGUUAAUCGGAAUUACUGGGCGUAAAGCGCGCGUAGGCGGCUUGGUCAGUCGGAUGUGAAAGCCCCGGGCUCAACCUGGGAAUGGCAUUCGAUACUGCCAGGCUAGAGUAUGGGAGAGGGAAGUGGAAUUUCCGGUGUAGCGGUGAAAUGCGUAGAUAUCGGAAGGAACACCAGUGGCGAAGGCGACUUUCUGGCCCAAUACUGACGCUGAGGUGCGAAAGCGUGGGGAGCGAACAGGAUUAGAUACCCUAGUAGUCC